AGGUAGUGACAAGAAAUAACAAUACAGGGCAAUUGUCUUGUAAUUGGAAUGAUGGUGACCUAAACCCUCACCAGAGUAACAAUUGGAGGGCAAGUCUGGUGCCAGCAGCCGCGGUAAUUCCAGCUCCAAUAGCGUAUAUUAAACUUGUUGCAGUUAAAAAGCUCGUAGUUGAAUUUCUGCGUCACCGUAUUUUGACUUUUGUCGACUGUCGGUUUCGCUUUUGGGAUUUAUCCCUUUUUACUUUGAGAAAAUUAGAGUGUUUCAAGCAGACUUUUGUCUUGAAUACUUCAGCAUGGAAUAAUAGAGUAGGACUUUGGUUCUAUUUUGUUGGUUUGUGAACCUUAGUAAUGGUUAAUAGGAACG
rnacentral:rRNA from 1 species